rnacentral:lncRNA from 11 species
CUAGAGACCUCAAGUCGACUCUCCUGAACCUCAUUAGACAUCUCUAGCAGAGAAUCCAUAAAGGACCUUACCAACUACAAGUUACAGGAUUCUACAGAAUUGAACUAUGGCAGUCAAAAUGAAUCUGACAGCUAUCUAUUCUUCUAAUCAUCACACUCAAGGGAAGCAUUCUACGGUAAUUAUAAACCAAGUCUAGAUUACAAAUGAAUGUCAGC